rnacentral:lncRNA from 1 species
UCCGAUUCUCUUCAAGAUAUCAUAGUAGAAUGUCUUUGGAGCAAAACUCAGAAUCACUCUCUUCUCUGCUAAUGAAGCAAGGUGUGCGAUCAUUCCGUCUGCUUUGUUCUGAGGGUAAUGUAUCAGCACGUCCAGGCAUACGACUGUAUUGUACUUCCCACUUAGACUCUCUAAAUCAUUCACUUCAAAUCUUGGUAAAUUCUCUGAUGGUAGUUGCUGCUUUGCCUGUGCAUAUACAAAAAUUUGUCACAAAUUGGGUUAUAACAAGCACAAGGUUUCAGAUUCGAGAAUGUAGUUACUCAGGAAUUCUAUUUCAGAUCAUCUUGAUAUGAAAAUGUCUGUCUAGCUUGCCAAGAGAAGAAUCCAGCAUCAAGCAGAGGAACUUAGCAGCCAAACCCAGCAAUCACAGAGACGAAAGCUUACCUUCAUCUGAGCUUCGGCAACCAUAGCUGCAGAGAUAUCGCUAGCAGAGACGAUCGCACCUUCCUUAGCAAGUGGAAUGGAGAGAGAUCCGGUUCCGCAUCCGGCGUCGCAGACCGUGACGCCGGCCAAGGAUCCUUCCUCCGUCAGCAUAAGCAUCGCGUUCUCCACGGUUUUGGCGUGUCCGAUUCGAAUAUCCUUCUGCACGCGAUUCACUUCGUCAGU